CUACCUUCGAAUUGGGGAUAACGUUGCGAAAGUGACGCUAAUACCGAAUGAUAUCAUAAGGACUUUGGUUCUUUUGAUCAAAGAUGGCCUCUCCUUGGAAGCUAUUGUUUGAAGAUGAGCCCGCGUCCCAUUAGCUUGUUGGUGGGGUAAUGGCCUACCAAGGCAGCGAUGGGUAGCUGGUCUGAGAGGAUGAUCAGCCACACUGGGACUGACACACGGUCCAG
rnacentral:rRNA from 1 species